rnacentral:rRNA from 1 species
CAGUAGCCGCGGUAAUACGUAGGGUGCAAGCGUUAAUCGGAAUUACUGGGCGUAAAGCGUGCGCAGGCGGUUUGUUAAGACAGAUGUGAAAUCCCCGGGCUCAACCUGGGAACUGCAUUUGUGACUGGCAAGCUAGAGUGUGGCAGAGGGGGGUGGAACUCCGCGUGUGGCAGUGAAAUGCGUAGAUAUGCGGAGGAACACCGAUGGCGAAGGCAGCCCCCUGGGCCAACACUGACGCUCAUGCACGAAAGCGUGGGGAGCAAACAGGAUUAGAUACCCCCGUAGUCCCUGUCUCUUAUAC